rnacentral:rRNA from 1 species
AAUAGAUACCCUGGUAGUCCACGCCGUAAACGAUGAGUGCUAGGUGUUGGGGGGGGUCCACCCCUCGGUGCCGAAGUUAACACAUUAAGCACUCCGCCUGGGGAGUACGGUCGCAAGACUGAAACUCAAAGGAAUUGACGGGGACCCGCACAAGCAGUGGAGUAUGUGGUUUAAUUCGAAGCAACGCGAAGAACCUUACCAGGUCUUGACAUCCCUCUGAAUCCUCUAGAGAUAGAGGCGGCCUUCGGGACAGAGGAGACAGGUGGUGCAUGGUUGUCGUCAGCUCGUGUCGUGAGAUGUUGGGUUAAGUCCCGCAACGAGCGCAACCCUUGAAUUUAGUUGCCAGCACGUUAAGGUGGGCACUCUAGAUUGACUGCCGGUGACAAACCGGAGGAAGGCGGGGAUGACGUCAAAUCAUCAUGCCCCUUAUGACCUGGGCUACACACGUACUACAAUGGCCGGUACAACGGGCAGCGAAGGAGCGAUCCGGAGCCAAUCCUACCAAAGCCGGUCUCAGUUCGGAUUGCAGG